CAAGUACAAUUGCUCACAUCUCUUUACCAGCAACUUUAUACCUCGGUCGAAUUGAUUUCUCCUGGUGAGCUUCAGUUUUAGCAUGUUAGAGGAGGUUCCGUACGUGUCAGGAUACUCCCAACAAUCACCGAUAAGUAUGUUGUAUCUUUCCAACUUAUCGGAGAACAAGUUCGGUGGAAGAAGGUCAGCAUCUGGAACAUGUAUGUCUAAUGCAGUUAGUUCAGCCAAGUGCUUCAGCUCUGAAACAGUAGCAUUACUUCCUCCGCUAAUGGGACCUUCACCCUCCCAUUGCUUAAAGCUUUUUAUUCCCAUCCUCAAGUCUUCUAGUCUUGUCAAGCUUGAUAUAACACCAGGUGAGAUCAUAACAAGUUCAGAGCAACCGGUCAAAUCCAAUAAUUGUAGGCUAGUCAAUUGCCCUAUUUCUUUGGGCAACUCUUUAAUCUUGGACUCAAGGAAGCUAAGAAUUUUCAAGUUUGUUAGCUGUCCAACAAGAGUUAUGUCUACCAACUCGCAUUGAUCUAAGCACAAUGUGUGGAGAUGCUUUAGGGAUUGAAGAGAUGGAGGUAGUGACUGAAUAUUGAAUCUGGUUACAUCCAACACUUUGAGUUCUUUCAUCCCUUCAAAAAAAUUGCUUGGGAUUUCCUGGGAGUCCCCAAUAUGAUUAUUAUCCAAGCGCAGCAAUUUUAAUUCUGGGCAUUCCCAAGGUACUUCAGGAAGCCUGGGGAUCUUGCACAUUAUUAAGGACAUCCUUGUGCAUUUUUCAAGGAAAUCCUCAGUUGGCCAUUGUUUCACCUCAUCUUCAUAUGCUCUUGAAAAGGCUUUUUGAUCAUCAGUUGCAAUCCGGACAGCAACAUCUCGUACAAGUUCAUGCAUUCUAACAGUGUCAUCGUCAUAGCUGUCCUGCAAUAGGCAAGAAUUUUUUAAUUUUUUAACCAUUACAUUCAAUGAAGUCCAUGCCUCUUCCACUGUCUCAACAUUUUUUAUCAAACCCAAACCCAUACUAUACUUCAACAAGUCACUGAGAUAAUUGCAGCUACUCCCACAAAGCAAGAACAAUUGCUUAAGCUCUUGAUCCUCCAAUUGUUCGUAACUCCACUUUAGAGCCAAGAAUGCUUUUUCAUUCAACUCUUUCUUGUCAAAUCUUUUGAAACUUCUCAACGCAACUUUCCAUUCAUCCAAACUACUAUCCCUUAAAGCCCUUGCAACUGCAACAACCAAAACUGGCAAACCUCCACAUUUCUUUGCUAGCUGGGUUGCUUCCUUCAGUAUACGGUUGUCUUUAACAUCACCUGCCAUCUUCUCAAACAAAUUCCAACUUUCCUGUUCUGUUAAAAAUCCAAGUUGAAAUUCUUUUUGCGUACGCAUAUCAGAGCGUAUAACUUUUAUUUCUCUAGAUGUCAACAAUAGCUUACAGUUCGGCACACCGAUGAGUCCCACAGCCUCAAAGUCAGUUCUUUCCAAAACAUCAUCUAAAAUGACAAGAGUCUUCCCAUCUUUUAUCCUGGCUCGUAGGAGAUUCGCCCUUGUUCCCACAUCCUCAGAUUCAUCAACAUCCAUCCUCAACUUUUUGGCAAUUUCUUUUUGAAAUUUUUCGUUGUCGUUUUUUUCUUUGACAUUUAGUAUUAUAACCACAUCAUCAAAUAACUUCUCUUCCAGAGCUUCUCUGUAAACCUCUUUGGCAAGUGUUGUCUUCCCAACGCCCCCUAAUCCGUACACACCAAUCCUGUUGAUAUCAGGUUUUUUCAAUUCCGUAAUGAUAUCCUUCACCAUUGAAAUCCUUGAUUCAAAGGCCAUGUACUCGUCGGAGGCUAUGGCAGAUAUAUCUUCUACGGCAGCAUUGUAAGAAAUACUGGCAUACUCUUUUUUUUUAUUUACAUGUUCUUCAAUCUUUUCCAUCAGUUUUGUUGACUUCCUGCUACGCUGAUGAUAGGAUAUCAGAUUAGGACAUAUAAUGAGACACAUUGUCUUUGCACGGCCUUCAUCAUGCAAGAGUGCUUUUGCCUCCAGAGUGGUCUUCUCCGCAUCUGACUGCCAUUUCUGGACAUCAGCUUCCACUUUUUGAUCAACUUUUCUUCUGACUUCAUCAACUUCAUGCUUCAUCCUUUCUUUGACAGAAUCAAAAUUCUCCAAUUUAUUCUUUAGAUCGUUAAGGUUGCUUUUAUAGAAAAUGAUAUAACCCACUUGGCGUGCAACUGGUCUAAUUGUGUAGUCAAUUAUUGUAGGAAUACUUGCAGUGAGUAUCUCCAUCGGCAUGGCACCUUCAGCUUACCAAUUCGUCUGCUUCUCCGAUCUGUUGAAUAUAUACGAAUCCAAAAUAUAAAAAAUUCAAGAUACGAGAAAGAAAUCCUUAUUUUUAAAGCAGAUGAAUUAAAGAAUGAAACAAUAGGUCAUACCUUAGCUCGUGAUCGAGACUACGCUUGAAGAAAAACAGAGCAGUAUGCAAAUGUUUUUGUUUUCUUUUGCAUCUUUUGGAGAAAUCUACAUAGUAAAAGCAAAAACAAGGUUAUAUCACACUUGCAAAUAGACGUCGAGACCAUGAACAAGUUUUCACAUACAACUUUUUAUACUAAAAAAACUUGGUUGGUACAGAACUUAGGUAACUGUUUUCAAAUCUUAAAAACUACGAAAAACGUAUAUAAUCUGCUUUGAAUUUCACUGAGGCAUUUUAACAAACAUCAUAUCUGCACGCUUAAAGCUGGUGCAUGAGGCAGAGAACGAAAUGUAGAACAAUUUAUUGAAGUGCGUACCACAGGGCUACUGAUCUAGAUGGUACGAUGGAGUUGACCCCCGAUUCUCAGGAGCUGAGCGUGUUAACUCUGCCAAGACUCGACGAGUUCCAGAGGCUCAUUUCUAGUUGAUCUAGUUUACGAAAGAAAUCUGAGGCCAACAACUGCGAAAUCCAGGCAGUCAUGAGCUCGAGCAACGCGAGGUUAGGAACAGAGACAACCUCGCUCUGAAGGGUCGAGCAGAGCUAGGAGGCUGCCGAGUGUCUGCAAUGGCAGCCAUGGUGAUUGGUCCUAGACGAAGGGAGAUGGAGGAAAAGGGUGAAAAAGUUGCAGGGAGGAAGAAAGGGUGUGUUUGGUUGUGUGUUUAAAAGGUGUUUUGUUUGAUAGUAAUAUCUUUGUGAUGUAUAAGAUAAUGGCAGUGUUGGUGAUGGUGGUUAUGACAAGAGUAGUGCUGCCAUACCUCCACCAAGAACACAGUUGACAGCUGCCAUGCCUCCACCAAGCACCUCCCUCCCCUUUCUCCCGAAGCCAUGGUAGCUCCACCCCCAAAUUUUACAACUCAUGACAGAUCAUAUCCAUCUUACCAAUUUUUUAUUUAAUUAAUCCCCAAAGUGAGAAUUACUCUUCUAUAAAUGAUAUUUGGAAAACCGUUUUGCAAACGAAAAAGACAAAAGGCUCAAAAGACAAAUAAAAUUUUGCGUUUUUAUAAUUACAUAACUAGCAUAUGGGCACACAAAGUGUGUGAGAAAAUUUUUUAUUUUUGUUUUUGAAAUAGAAGGAGAGAGGAAGAGAGUGAUAGAGAAUGGGGAAGCUUUUUAUUUUUUUUAGAGUUAUGUUAGGAUUACAUGUUGAGGUUUUGAAAAAAAACACAGCAAAAGUUGGUUGUGUGAAAUUACAUUUCUGCCUCAUAUUUCUUAUUCAUGUUCUGUUUUAAUUAGAGGGUUAAACUGAUAAUUUCAUAGGUUUUGGUUGACAAUGAGUGUUUUAUUAAUUAGUAGAGAUGAGUGAGUUAGUUUAAUUCAAUAAUUAUCUUUAAUAAUAAAAAUUGACUAUUAAUAUAUACUAGAUAAAAGUCACAUACUAUGUUAAUCUAUAGACAAUUUAAAAAAGAAUUGGAAUUUUGUUAAAAAAAAAAAGAAAGAAUUGGAAUUAAAAUUUAAAAAAGGGAAAAGUAGGGAGUGGGAGAGAAAAAGGUACCAAAACCGAAACAAGAAACAAAUCAAACCGCACCGAACAGUUCGGUUUUGCGGUUUUGAAACCAAACCGCAAUGUAAGGAAACAGUUUAGUUGUGGUUUUGACUAUUGAAAGCUGCACCGAAACCGAACCACACCGCACAUAUUAAUAAACAUUUAAUUGAAUAUCAUAUUAGAUGUCAUGUUUUAAUUGGUUGUUUGUUAGAAUCCAUAUGUACUUUUUUUUUUUUUUUUGGGAAAUUGAUUCAUAAAUUAAACCAGGUCGAGCCACCAAGGGUGGAAAGCCAAUGAGGGCAAACGAGCACAAACAGACAGUACAAAGUGAGGGAGGGGAUACAAAUGAUGCAGCAAAAGCCCCUUGCGCACCACCCAAACCCACGACACCAAAAACUAAUUAGGGGGACAUGAAAGACCAUCCUUAGAUACCAAAAACUAAUUAGGGAGUCAUAUAUAUAUGUAUGCUUAGGUUUGCAUUGUUUACAACAGCUGGUGAUACUUUGUUCCAUAGGAUAGGACCAAACAUAGUUUUAUGUUAUUAGAAUCUUGUUUGCCGCCCACACCACCCAAUGGUAUUCUUGUAUGCUGUCGCCUUCUCCUAAUAUAUAGAUGAUAGUUCAUUUGCAUAGGAAAAGGAGAACAGAAAGGGAAGGCCUGUCAAAUAAAACUCUCCCCAAACAUCCAAUAUCUUUCAUGAACAAAAAGGGAAGGCCUGUUAAAUAAAACUCUCUCCAAACACCCACUAUCUUUCUAACCAAACACACCACUUUUUCUCUGUUACUAGUAUCCAAACAUCCAUCUUCUCAGUUUACCAAAAAUUAAUCAAGGUGUGUUUAAUGUAUAAAGUGGCGCGCAGAUAAUUGAAGAGUUUUUAUGUUUUUCUCUUCUAAUGUUGUCAAUAAAUGAACUUUAAGCCAUUGUUGGUUAGGGAGAAGAAAAUGGAAACAUAAGAAGAAAAAGAAGACGACGACUGAUCAUUAUUCAGGAGACGACAAGUUCGACAAACAGAGGUGCAGAAGAGCAAGAAAGGCUCAAGCUUUUCUCAACUUGGUUUUCUUCAUUUUAUUAUGCAUUUAGUGACAACUUCAAUUAUGUUUCGAAAUUAAUUUCUUUUCCUAGAGCUACGAGGUAGCCUAAUCAUGAUUGCUUCAUUCCUUAGUUUCGUUAUUUAUGAAUUUCAGUCUUAUUGAGUUUAUUUUGUUGUGGAUUAUACGCUUGAUUUUUAUCUUGUUGAUUAGCUACAAACUUGGUUUGUCAAGUUUAUCUAAUGCAAAUUUAAGUAUGCGCCAAUUCAAAGCUUCUUGGAGUUAAAGUUAUGAAAUCCUUGAUAUCGAGGUUAUACACUAAGUUUCAUGCGGUCUCUUAGUUAGUGUCCAAAUCAUUAAUGAAUUUUUUUUUGUGUUUAGUAAUCUACAUGUCAUAGAUUCUUAGCACAUAAGAGUAUACCUAGUAAUCUAGAUGCCAUGAAUACUAUAUGAUUUAGAGGAAUUAGAGUAUACCUAGUAAUCUUGAUGAUAUAUUUGUUAAUAAUUUACUGCCAAAAAUAGGUUGGACUGGUUAUGGUGAAAUCGAAUGCUCUAGCAACUCACUCAUCUCGUUCAUAAUUUGUUUCUAUUUGCAUCCCUAUUCCUUUAGUCUUAUUUUUCUUGUUAUUCUUCAGUGUUUUUAAAUCAAGAACUCAAUCCUUGCAAUUCUUUCUUAUAAUCAAUGUUACUUUUAAUUCAAGUGCAAUUCAAUUUAAGUUAGGCAAUUAGAAUUGACUCGAUCUCAGUUAGAACAAGGUUGUGUUUGCCUAUUAUAGUAUACUACGAUUCGUACAUUUGCGAGCAUUAAAAUUUGAACUUAAUUGGAUUGAUUUCAGUAAAUCUAAUUUCGGCAACAAAGAUCGAUUUUUUUGUCUUAAAAUAGUUAAGAUCAAUUAAAUUCUAAUUGCAUAGUUUCUAAAUUUUUUCAAAAGGGUUGGUGGGAUCUUUCAAAGCUCAGAAGUGUGCUAUUUGAGAAUAUGGUGCAGAAAACCAUUAGUUGGCUUGCUGGUAACCUUGGUGUGAGAAGGGACAAACUUUAACUUAUUUGAAAUGGCAUUUCGAAUGGUGUUUUCUUUGUGAAGACUUCUUAUGGUCUCUUAUUUCAAAGAGAGUCUUGGAUGAUUGGUCCCUAAUGAACAGCGGGCUAGGAAAUAUUUGACUUCUAAUCCUUCAUGCAAUUUUUGUUCUUGGCAUGAUGAAUCUAUUCUCCAUAUUCUCAGGAAUUGUUAUAAGACUGAAUAUGUUUGGCUGCUUCUUAGUGUGCGUUGUUAUGUGAUAAACUCUUUUGAUUAGAACAUUCAAGCUUGGUUGCUUGCUAAUCUUAAGGUGCAUAUAAGGUUAUCAAUCAAAGUUCUUUGUGCAUUUUAUUCCUCUUUAUUUUUUGGCAUAUUUUGAAAUGGAGAAAUCAACAAAUUUUUUAUACUAAUUAUGUUAUGCCAAGGGAUCCUUAAGCUAUUUUAGUAAGGGAUGCUGCUGAAUGGGUGAAGGCGUCCUCAAAAGCUUCUGUGAAGCCAACUAGGAUGGUGCAAGAUUAAUAUUGAUGGUUAAGAAGAAUGACUUCUAGGCAAAUUGGGGGUGGUUGAGUUCUUAGAGAUCAUUGUGGUGAUUGGUUAGGGAGAUUUUCUGCUAAUUUGGGGCAGGGACAAGUUAUGGAGGUAGAGGUUUAGAGUUUUUAUUUUGGCCUUAAGCUUGCUUUAACAAAGGCGUAUAUAGGCUUAUUAUUAAGAUGAAUUCAGUGGGUGGUGUCAACUUGAUUAAGCAAAAUAUGGCAAAUGAUUUUCAUCCUCGUAUUACAAUUUUGAGUAGCAACUGAAAUAUGAAGGAUCAGCUGGUGCGUCAUCGGUUGGUUCAUACUUUCCGACAAAAUAAUUUUGUUGCUGUUCAUUUAGCUAGCUCGAGCUACAAUACGGACCUGGAGGUUUGUGCUUUUCAUGAUCCUCCUAUGUGGAUUGAGAUGGUGUCGAUGGAUGAUUGCUUAGGCCAUCUCCAACCGAAGGGUCCAGAGGGCCAGAGGGCCGAAAAUAGCCCUAAAACCGUCUCCAACCGAGGGCUAGGCCAGAGGGCUCUGGAAUCUGGGAGGGCCCCACGGGAUCGGAGAGGGUUGGAGGGCUGGAGGGCUGGCUGCUUUCGGCCAGCCAGCCCCGGGCUGGCUUAUUUUUUUUUUAAUGUUUUCUAUUGCUGUCGGUUAAAACCGACAGCAUUGAAGAGGUUUUUUUUUUUUUUAAUAGUUCUACUAUUAGUGUCGGUUAUAACCGACACUAAUAGUUUGAAAUGUUUUUUAAUAUAACGGCUAGUAGCCGUUGGAUUAUUAGGCCUCUUUUUUUUUUUUUUUUUUUUAAUGAAUUUAAACUUCUUUUUUUCCCUUUUUUUUUCCUUUUCAUAUGAAUCAAAUUUUGUUUCAUAUUUUUUUUCCUAUAACUUCUAUUUCACAAAAUUUGUUUCAUAUUUUUUUUCAAUUCUAUUUUUUUCGUAUAACUUCCUAGGCCAUUUAUACAACAUUAAAUUGUAGUUUUUAAAUAAUAAAUUAUGUUUGGCCCUAUGGCCCUUUGGCCCUCGGUUGGAGACGGUUUUUUGUGACAGGGCUAAAACGAGCCCUUUGGCCCUCUGGCCCUCGGUUGGAGACGGAGGCAAAUAUGGCCCUGUACUGUUCAUUAAAAUAUUAAUAUCUUGGGGAAUCUUGGAGGGCCAGAGGGCUCAAACGAGCCCUCUGGCCAGCCUUCGGUUGGAGAUGGCCUUAGGUUCUUCAAGGCUUGUUUUGUCUGUUCGAAUGUUGUUUCUUAUUUCUUACAUUUAUAAGGUUAGGUGUUCCAUAUGAUCGACCUCUUCGAGUUCAUUGUUGAUGUGUUUUCUCUCUAUAACAAGGUGCUGCCGCAGGCGCAGCACCCGUUGAAGUUUUUGUUAGGGAUCCAUUAAAUAGUUAAUUCUGAAGAGAUUGAAUUAAAAGUCAAUUAAUCUUCCGGACAUUGAGAAUUCAUUUGGAUUUGAAAUUAGCCAUGGACUUCAAGGUUCAAUGACCAAGACCCAAAUGUGAGAAAAUUUUCAUUGUGUCUGGAACACGGAUGGUACACCACAACUUGUUAUAUAAGUGGUGAGAAAUGUUAUUUUUUAAGUUGUUAAUUUUUUAACACAAGUAUCUUACUAUUUGUAUAAUGACACAUGGUGUAUCACCCCGUAUUCCAGGUACACUGAAAAAUCUCUCUUCAAUCACAACUUAAAUUCAUGAAGUCUAAAAGAGGCUCAUUGAAUUCUCUUAGCCAAUUAUAGAGGGACAAGAGAUUGUUGAGUGUGUCGCUAGAUCAUCUCAAAUAGGCUCUUUAAAUAAGCUUUUAACAACCACUUAGUAUUACGGUCUAGUGUUAUUUUUCUUCACUUAUAAGUGAGAAGUCUUAUAUUCAAUUCUUUCCAAAAGAGAAAUUGAGUCAAAUUAUUGUUAGCCCAUUGUGAGGUUUAACCCGUUUUCUAUCUCUCAUGGACACCCACUUUUCUUUUUUUGCACACCCGUAUUUCUUAUUAUUUUAUUUCAUGUAUUUAAACCCGAAUUCUAUAACAUUUUUUUUAGUACAUCGAUACUUUUACACUAGGAGGAGUGGGAGUUCGACUAAGCCACACAAUAUGUAGCCUAAUUUGGUAUCGAAUUCGCUAUCCACGAGAUUUGAACCUAAGAUCUCUUAUUUCCAAGUGAAGAAGAAGACCACCAGAGCGUAGUAUUGAGUGGUUAAUCCCAACAAUAAUUAGCAAUAACUUUUUGCACCUAAUUCGCUCCCAGCUCGCAACAUGUGUUUACAUCUCUCUUUCUAUUGUUUUAAUUCCUUUUUUAAGUUAGCUUCAAUAGGUUUUUAAAACUAAAAGUUGAAAUCAACGUUGGAGAGAUAGACAAGGAUUUGGAUCCUCUCUUAAGCUCAACAUCCUGAGCCUGCUAAGCAAAUCACAUGGGCCAUUGGAUUUUGAUUCAACGACUACAAACAGAAGGCUCCUCUAAAAGUUAUAAUAAUUGUAGCCGUUAGAUUUCAUAGUGGGUGUUCAAUUUGGUUGUAUAGGAAUUAAGUUGGGUGUAGUCAAAUUAGGAUUUCAAUUGAUUUUUAAGUUAUUGGAUUUCAUAGGAUUAUGGACUUCUAUCAAAUAUAUAUGGAUUCUGAAAGGUUUGAGAAGAUUCGUAUAACAAAUUUUUAAUAAUUUAAUAGACUUAUGCAGCUUUAAAUCUUGGCCAUCUAAUAAAUCAAAUGGUUAUAAAUGUGUUUAGGUCAUAAAUCUAACCAAAUGGAGCUGCAAUUGGUUCAUGCUCUAGAGUUGCAUCCCCUUCUCCAGAUGGAACAACUUGGUGAAGCAAGAGUCAGCUUGAGUGGGGCGUGGUGGAGAUGAGAUUCUUUUUAACCUUUUUUAUACAUGAAAUUCACUCUCAAAUCCCACUAAAUCGCUUACUCAAUGAAGCUAAGGACAACUCAUUGCGGAGGCUGUUGCUUUAAAGGAAGGGCUUUUGUUUGCCAAGCGCAAAUGUGUGAAGAUGUUGAUGGUGAAAGGGGAUUCUAAGCAAGUCAUCCAGGUGGUGCAAGAUGUUUGGAUGCCUCCUUGGCAUCUUAAACCUAUCAUAGAGGAUAUAAAAUGGUUGGCUUCUAAGUUUCAACUAGGGGUGGGCAAACGGGCCCUGGGCCCGCGGGUAGGGGCGGGUAUUAGCGGUUCGGGGCGGGUACGGGGCGGGUCCUAAUUUUAAAAAAGAGAAACGGGGCGGGGCGGGGCGGGCCUUUGAAAUUUUAGGUUCGGGCCGGUUCCAAAAGUGUAGAAAAAUGGGUACCCGGACCGGCCCGUUUGCAAAAAAACCCCUUUGUUGGGUACUGUUAUUGUCUCCCAGCCUCCCAAGCCCACUUCUUUUGUUCCUCCCCGUGGGCCGUGACAUUUCUCAAUCUCCAACACACACACACACACCCCAUUUCUCAGUCUUCGUAACAAAAUCGCUCGAACCUUCCUCAUUCUUCUGCUUUGUUUUUUUCUCCCCCAUCUCUGCAACUCUUCUUCCCGGAGCACAAACACACCACCCCCACACCCCACCGAGAAAUGAUAUGCUGCCGCCGCCCUCCUCCCCCACCAACUCCUCCGUCUCCUCCUCCGAUCUCAACACCGAGGUAACGCAUUUCCCUAAUUUCUUCCAAUUUCGUCAAUUUCUUAAUUUUGAUUGACAAAAUUUGUGAAAAGUUGUGAAAUUUUCAAUUGCAUGUCUGGCUUUUGGCACUCCUUGUCCAGGAUGAAGAUGGUCUUGGUUGGUGGGUACGAGUGCUCGAAGGAUAGCUUGGGGUUCGACCGGAUCUCCACGUUUGAGUCGUCCAGCUGCAGUGGGGAGUGGUGGAGAGAACUGAGAAGGCGCACAACGUGAUCAACUCAAGCUUUCUCUCUCUGGCGAGGAAGUUGGAUCUGUGCAGCCUAUGCUCCGGCGGCGCUUUCUCCGUUUUUCUUUUGUUGCCAGAUGCUCAAAUGGGAGAGAACUGAGAACACCUCGUUUCUGUAGUGGAUUACAAUAUGACCCAUGCUUUGAUUUUGUCUGUUUCUUUAUCAUAUUUGCAAUGUUAUUCUGAAUGAUACAUCUUCUCAGAUGUUAUUGUUUGUUUGUUAUUUUUUGAUGUAAGAAGAGCAAGAGAAGCUGGAGAAGAAACUGAAAAUUAGAAGGAAAAAAAAAACAGGGUACCCGUUGGACCCGUAGGAACCGGCCCGUUUUAUACGGGCCGGGUUAGGUCCGGUUCUCAGUUUGAAAAUAGUAGAAUCCGCCCCGGCCCGGCUCGUUGUAUUUUCAAGCGGGUCCGGUCCGGUCCCUUCAAUUUUGGGCCCGGCCCGGCCCGUGCCCACCCCUAGUUUCAACACAUCAGUUGGAAGCAUAUUUAUAGGGAAUCUAAUUUUGUGGUGGACACAUUAGCUCAUUUGGGCCUCAGUGUUGCCAGCCUUUAUUUUUGGGAUUAUUGUCUUCCGUUUUCGGCUAUAAAGGCCUUUAAUUUUGUUUGUAUUGAAAACGGUUGUAUUAAAGAUUUUAAGCUUUAAUAAAUUUCUUCUUUAUCAAAAAAAAAAAAUGAAACCUUACAAAAUCUAUGACAUUGUGAACACCUACGGAUUUGCAUGGACUCUUUUUAAUCCUAAUUGACUACAUUUGGAUUUGGAUGAAAUUUUUUAAAAUCCUGUUAAAUCCUACUUUGACUACAACAUGAUUUCAAAGUCUUUUAACACUCUAUUGACUACACCCUGAUUAGAAACUUAAUUUGACUACACCUCCUAAGAUUAUAUUAAAAAGUCUAGUAAGUCUUUUAUAGUAAUUGUACAUAUCAGUGUAAGUAUUAUUUUUCAUUAAAUGAAACUAAAGGGUGUCCAGAGUAAAAGGUUGGUGUAUACAUAAUUAAUUAAAAAUUUAAUCAUUACAGAGUGAUUCAGUGGUUAGAGACGAAUUUCACGUUUGUAAUCCACACAACACAUCAUGGGUUCGAUUCCUAGUACUGGUGAAUAACACGAUGAUGGUCAGGAAAGGGUUGAAAUGCCUCUGUGAGUAUUUCCGACCCUGAAAAAAUGAAAUGCCGUGACGAAGCCAUUAUCUGUCCCCUUUUCAAAAAAUAGAAAAGCUACCUUCUCCUUUUACCUUUCCCAACUUGCCUUCCCCAUUCAUUAGUUGACAUGUGAACUCUACCACUAGUUAAAACUCAAUAAUUAAUGUGUUAAAAUAUUAAUUAUUUAGUUCCAAUUUUUAACUUGCACUCAAUACUUUCUUUAAAUUAUAUAAUUUCCACCGGAGCCGUCCUCCUUCCUAGGGAUGACCAAUUAUAAUCGUUAAAACUAAUAACUAUGGAAAACCGUCUGAAUGUAUUGAAUUUGGGUAUGAAAAUUCGAGUAUAUUUUGGUUAUGGGAAAAAACCGUAAAUAAUAUUUGGUUAUGGUUUUGGAUAUGGUUAUAGCCAUCCUCCUCUUAAAUCUUACUACCAAGGCGGACUUACAAGUGAAUUAGCUAGCAACCAAUUCAGUUGUAAAUAAUUCUAUUCUUCACAUCAACCUUACGGUGUUGAAACUUAGAGGUUUCGUAUUUUUGUAACAUAUGGAGAACUUGCUCAACCAUCAAAGGGGAUCAAAGGAAGGAGUUUUCAAGGUGCAAUUCAAGGAGAAGAUCAAGCCCUUCCUCUAGGGUGAUACACUUUUUCAAAACGAAAGUAGUAGUGCUUCAAGCUAUUGAAUCCAAAUCUCUAUGUUUUGUCUUUAGGGUGAACCCGCGUGCUUAGCCAUCAACCGGCCUUUUCUUGGCGAAGCCCACUAUCGUCACCACCACCAAAGUGAAGCAUGCGAUCCCAAAAAAUUGUACUUCAAUUUUUUUGUAGCAUGUUCCAAUGUCAAUGAGCGGCCCUCUAUAUUAUGAACUUACUUCUAUGAUUGUUUUUCCAAAUUCAAAUGUUUGAUCGAAAAAAUUGUAAUUGACCGUCGUUCCAUUUUGUGAACAAUGGCAACACAAUGGUUGGAUUGUCAUAAAGUUUAAAUAGAGGUAUUUGAACUUUAAACUUGGAAAAAAAAAAGAUUUAAUUAAAAUUUGGUGUUAGAUUACAUAUUUAUUUAGUUUGUUUUUUUUAGUACGUACAACGAUAUAUUUUACACUAAAGGGAGGGGAGAGUUUGGCUAAGCCGCACAAUGGGCAAUCUAAUUUGGUAUCGAAUUCGCCAUCAACGAGAUUCGAACCUAAAACCUCUUACUUAUAAGUGAAGAAGUACCACUAGACCGUAGUACUGAGUGACAUAUUUAUUUAGUUAUUAGAUGUGUACUUUUAAUUCAAAUUCAAAUUCAUAUUCUAUUUUUGUUUUAAUGUUUAGAGAUUAUAUUCACACACCCCAAAUUACUUCUUCCACACCUUUUUUAAUUUUUUUAAUAUUUUCUACACACCACUAACACUUGAUGGAAAAAUAUUAAAAAAUUAAAAAGGUGUGGGAGAAGUAAUUUGGGGUGUGUGAAUAUAAUCACCCUAAUGUUUAAUGUGUAUAAUAUUCAACAUCUCCCAUUAAAUAUUUGAAUUUGUUAAUAUACAUAUUUGAAUUUAUUAAUUUUAUUUAACUUCCUCCAAUUAUAUCCUUAUAAAUGUACCUAAAUGAGAAAACAUUGAAAAAAUAAAAUAAUGACACAUAAGAAACAUGUAAAUAUAUAAGUGUACCGAAAAUAUACUAAAAGGAAUUGAUGUACCUAAAUGUCUGUAUUGAAAUAUAAGAUGUACUUAAAUGUCUGUACCGAAAUGUAACAUAUUAAAUUAAGGUACUUAAAUAUCUGUACGGAAAUGACUAUACUAAAAUAUAUUAAAUGAAUUAAUAUACCUUGGUUAUGUCACUUUCUAGGUUAAGCUGCAGGCCAGGCUCCAAUAAAGGGCCUCCACCUCCUCCUACAUUCAAAUAUAUAAAAUAAAAAUGAUCAUAUAAAAUGUGAAAUAUUUGAUAGGAUCCAUUUUGGAAACGUAGAAUACCGAAAAUAUAUUAAAAUGAAUUGAUGUAUCUAAAUGUCUAUACUGAAAUAUAAGAUGUAUCUAAAUAUCUGUAUCGAAAUGUAUUAUAAUAAAUUAAUGUACCUGAAUGUCUAUACCAAAAUGACUAUACUAAAAUAUAUUAAAUGAAUUAAUCUAAAUAAAUGCAGAACUCAAAGUGUAUUGAAAUAUAGUUUACUAAAUAACUAUAACAAAAUAAAAUAUCAAAAUAUAAUUAAAUGUAGAAGAAAAAGAAAAAGAAUAUAAUUAUGAGGUUACUAAAUGUAUCAACGGACUAAAUUUGAUUUUAAUCUUAUACAAGAUUUUAGUUUAAAAGUUAUAUUUUUGAAGGAUUAGAAUGCAAUUUUGUAUUUUAAAUGUUACUGUUGGUACUAUGUGUGACUUGCAGAAAACUUAUGUGUGUGAACUUGAAGUUUGUAGACUUUUGAUCAAAGAUUGUAGGGUUGAGGACCCUAGGGACACUGCUUUAACCAAAUGGUUGACUUCUCCAUAGCAUCCUAGCAUGUCAUAGCCAACAUAUACAAUUCAGAUUUGACAAAUAUUCGACUUAACCGUGAUCACACAAACAAUAGGAUACGAAAAGGUACGAAAAGUGAGAGGGUAGAGAAUCUGCCUCCAGUUAGAAAUGGCUAUAUUAGUUGACGUAAAUUUAAAUUAUAACUUAAUUUUCAUGGCAAUUAUUUAGCACUUUGGCAUGGGGAUCUAUGCCAACUCCUAAAUUAACAAUAUUUUCUUGUAUUAUAAUAUUGAUCAAGUGAUGUUCUGCAUAAAGAAAACCUCACAGCAAGACUAAGGAGAAAGGCCAACGUAGUAUUAAAAAAGACUAAAGGCGAUGAAAUUGUACUGAUUGUAUUAGCCAUGGUCUAAAAUAUCGAUAUUAUCGACGAUAUUUCGCCGAUAAUAUCGUUUUUGUGAGAUGGCGAUAUUUUUACACUUAUCCACUUAAUUAUCGUCAAUAUAUUGUGAUAUUAUCAAUAAUAUCGAUAAUAUAGAGAUAUUAUAGAUAAUAUCGCGAUAUUUUAGGACUGGUGCGAAUCGGAGAAGAACGCCGGAGCUUCUACAGCUUCGGCCGACUGUAAAAGAGCACCGUAAACUCCGAUCUAGGUAUCAAAAUGAAACACAAGAUGAGAGGAAUGUUUUUAUUCCUUCCGUUUGCCGUGAAAUGGUUCGAGGUGUUCGAAAAGUUCCUCGACACUCACGACCUCGCCGGAGCUAGGUGUGUAUUCCCCGGGUCGAUCUCGUUCUAAAACCUUGUUAAAAAAAUGAGAUAAAACUUAGUAUAUCUCAACCACACAACAUCCAAGAUGAAUUGAGGUAAGCCCGGGGCUUACCUAACCGGAGAAGGAUCAAGAGAACUCACCGGAGAGUUCCUGGGUUCCACUAUCCUAGCUGCACCGAGAGAAAUGGAGAGAAAUACGAGGUUUAGAUGGUGAUAAUGAUGCCGUUGACGGAGUACUACAAAGGGUGUGCGGUGACUGAGUGUGUGUGUGUGUUCGACGGGAAGAUGAGAGAACACAGAGAGACUAGGGGAAGAAGAGGAAAAGGAAGGGAGUGUGAGGGAGGGAAAGAGAAGAGAGAGAGAGAGAGAGAGAGAUAGGCUUGGACCCGGGGAACAACAAACAAAGGUGGGCCCCGUGGCACACCUAUUAAGACCCAAAAACAAUUUUAAAAGUAAAAUAAACUUAAACUUAGUUAAAAUACAAUUUAAAUUGGGGGUGAGUGUAACAAUCUACCAUGCAAUGUAUUAAGUGUAAAAUAUAUAAUGAAUUAGUACAAUUCAUUAUAUAUGCAAUGUAUAGAGUUCCUAUGAGGUUCAAAAUAUUGUACUAAUUCAUUAUAUAUAAAUAAUUAUUGUGUGUUUAAACUUCUUUCAUUAAUUACUACAUAUUUUCUACACUCACAAUAUUUGCCAGCUCGCUAUAUAAUCAACUUCAAUCAGUUAAAUUCAUCAUGCAAUGCAUUUCCUUCCAAUUUUUUGUGAUAAACUAAUAGAUAAUUGACUAAAUAAACAUCUUGCAAAGUUUCAAUAAAGAUUUCCAAGUUUUUUUUUACAAUUUCCGUGGUUUUUAUUCAAUUUUUAUCGAUAUCGAUAAUAUCCCGAUAUUUCCAUCGAAAUUUCCGUGUUUUUGGACUACCGUUAUUUUCGAUAUCAUCGAUAUUUUAAACCUUUGUAUUAGCUAUGAAAAUAAUUUUAUUUUAUUCUACUAUGUUAGAGUUUGAAUCUGAAUCAAGUAACCACUUGAUCAGUAAGCCUUUUAAGUUGAUCUGUAAGCCUUUGUUAGCUAUCCACUAAUUACUGAAUUUUAAGUUAAUGUAUCAAUAAUCAGCCUAAUGUUGUUUUUUACUGGUUUAGUUUUUCAGUUACGCUUUUAAUUAAGUUGUUCCAAUUGUGUAUAUAUCGAAACUUGGAUGUUUAUGUGCGCUUGUGCAUCUACCCAGAUAAUUACUGGGAGUGAUUCAAUUGUGUCAUCAAUUUCUUUCUGUCAAAUGUUAUGAAAUCCUUAUUGGAUUCAUUUAUUUAAUCGAGUGAGAUGAUUUAAUACUGGUAAUGUAUGUUUAGGAUCAUAACUGAGUCAACAAAUAACUCAUGAAUUAAAAACUCAAAGGCUACCAUACUAUGAAAUACCUUGUCAAAUACUUAAUAUAAGUAAGCAAAUUAUACAUUAAUAUCAUUCAGUCUGAGUGGCACUCAGUCUCGAUAUUGUUAGAUGUCCUGAGCUUACAUGUUCAUGGAUGACAAUGGUCAAUUAAUUGAAAGAAAAGGUAAGAACAUGACACUUUUAGGGGCACCAUUAGUAUCAUCCGCAACUUGCAAGGUUAUAAGGUUGACACUCGCUUUAUGCUAAAAUCGCUUUUACAAAUACAUUUUACCAAACACCUAACGCAUGUUAAUCUCUCCAUUGCCCCAAAUAUGUUCUUCAUAUUUCAAACACAAAAUGUGAAAAUUGAAGUAAAAUUGAAAUGAUUAUCAACAUGUGCUUAGAGAUUAUUUGUGUAAAAUUAAGCUUAAUCAUAUUUCAUCAAUGUGGAGGGCAAGGGCAAGUAAUUAUUCACUCUAAAAAGUAAUUCCCUUUGUGCAAGUCCGCCUAUUUGGAAGAAGGAAUAGUAAGGACAAGGGCAUUACUAUUCACAAAUAUAUAUAUAUAUAUAUAUAUAUAUAUAUAAAAGAAAAACUAACGAAAAGUCCAAAAACAUUUUUUUUUUAAUGGAAAGUCAUUUUUAAAGGUAUAGUGAAUAGUACCAAAGAAAGAUAUAAAUGUGGUUUUUCGUUAAAAGUGAACAGUACCAAGAAUGUUUUAUUAAAACUCCCAUAUAUAUAUUUUAAUGUUUCUUCGCCUUAUUCCCACAUGUCAUUAUCCCCGUAGAUUUUUGUUUAAUUUGUAAAUGUUUUGAACUUUGUAAGAUUUUUGAAGUGUUAACUUUUUAAGUUUUUUAAAUUUUCUAAUAAUUUUUCUAGUAGGUAACUUUUUAGAUUUUUAUUUAUUUUUAGGGCUGGAUUAGUCCUAGCUGUUGAAAUUUUUAAUUUUUAAAAUUUGCCGCGACAAAGCGCCACGUGGUGCAGCCCUAAAUUUUUAUUUUUUUAACCGUUGGAAUCCAACGGCUGUUGUUGCCUCAAAUUCGAGUCGUUUGGCUCCGUUGCCCCCCACCCCACCUGUCUGCUACAUUUCCUGGUGCAAGCCCCUGCAACAAUUGGCAGGGCAGCUGCUUUUCUGCCAAUUGCCCCUUGUUUUUCAAACCGCUGGAAUUGAUUUCAAAGCCCAUGGGCAGUUUCACCCAAUUCACAAGACAAUCCCACCGCUGGUGGAGAUUCUCUUAUAAAAAAGGUAGUGGUGGACGUUGGAACCGAAAAUUGAAACCGAAACAUGAAUUAAAUCGGACCACACCGAACAGUUUUGAAACGGUUGCAGUUUUGAAAUUACAACGCAGUGUACGAAAACGGUUUGAUUUCGAUUUCGACUUUUGAAAACCACACCAAAGCUCAAACCACACCUCAAAUUAAAUAUUAUGUUUUAAUUGGUUGUUUGGUAAAAUUCAUACAUUUAGUAUGGACUCAACCACAUUAGAAUAUCAUCUUUCUUUAGUCUUCGACAGUCUGCUCAAAGGCAGCUCUCGCCUCUCGGUUUCAAUUCUUAUCACUCAUCAGUCUCUCUCUCUCUCUCUCUCUCUUCUGAUUCAUCUGUUUUGGCAAUUGACCAUUUCAACUUUAUAAUGUUGUUGAUUGCUGAUAACGAGCAUUUCGUAUUUUGGUGAUUGCAUUUUAGUAACUGUGAUGUGUAAGUUUAUGAUCCAAAACCCAUUGAUGACAUUAGUAGAAUGCAUCAAUGCAAGCUCUAUAGAAUUAUUUUGUUGUGGAUGGCAGGAUGUGAAUUUUGAAUGCAAAGUGCAAAUUGUAUAAAAUGCAGGAUGAUAAGUAUUUUCUUGUAGCAGCUUUGGAUUAUAUUAAAUGAACAUCUUUGGUUCAAAUUCUUGUACAUCAUAAAUAUCUUGCUAUGGCUUCAUCAUUGAGUUGGCUUGGGACAUCAUCUUCGGAUAGGGUCAUAUGGUCAAUUUAGUGUCGGCUAGCACAUUACAGUCUCGUAACUUGUAUUAUUGAGGUCGGAGUGUGUCACUUAUGCAACGUUAAAUCUUGACGUCACAUAGAUCAAAUGAUGAUAAAUGUGCUUAAGUUAUAAAUCUAAUCAAAUGGAGCUGCAUUUUGUUCAUUCUCAGGAGCUGCAUUCCCUUCCCCAGACGGAGCCGACUGCAUCCACAGAAACCCAACUCCUCGAAGAUCCCCAAAUGCAUCCCUUUCCAAACCUACCUAAGUCCACCCCACUUUAUUCUUAUCCCUUUCCCAUCCCAGAUAAUCUUUCUACUUUCUCUAUCCUCUAAUCUCUUGUUUGACUCCUGACUUUCACUCUUUUUCACUCCUCUUCCUUCUAUUCCAUUGAUUAAAACUUUUUUUCUUUUGCAAUUUUUUUUAUCAAGAUCCUUAGGUUUUAAUAAACGUCAUUAUUUCAUUAAUAAAAUGUUUACAUAUCAGCAUAAUUAAAUUUUAUUUCUAACAUAUAUUCAUUUAGUGUUAAAGACGUUACAUUCGGUAAACUUAUAUUCAUGGCUAAACUUUAUAUCAAAUAUUUAUAUUUUUAAUUUGUGCCCAAUUUUAAUUUGCAACCCCUUUUUUUUAAAUUUUUACUAAUUUUCUUUUUAGUUUUAAUUGGACCCAUAUAUUAAUUUAUUUUUGUGCCCAUAUUUUUUAAAACUUCAUUUGUACUCAUAUUUUUUUAAUCUUAUAUUUGUACCAAUAAUUUACUUAUAAUGUACCCAUUCUUCUUUAUAAACUUACCACUUUGUUAUAUGUAAAAUGUGCCAAAUUUUUUUGUGAAAUUUUAUAUUUAAAAUGUACCAAGUUUUAACACUAUGGAUACAUUCUUUUGCCAUUUCUUAUUUUGUAUUGUUACAUUGUUUUUAUCCAUUUAUUCAAUCAAUUUUAUUGAAAUUUUUGUAUUGUAGCCGUUUCUAAUAGUAAUAAAUGAAGGAUUUUAAAUCUGAGAUUUAUAUGCCAUACACACACACACACACACACACACACACACACACACACACACACAUACACACAUGCAUACACAGGAAAUAUGCGAUUAUAAAUAUCAUAAAAUGUCAAAUAAUUAAUGUCAAACAUAUAGAAAUAUUACAGAUUAAUAGUAAUUUCAUGAGGUGUACCAAGUUAGGGGACUUUGAUAAAAAUUUGAAUAUAAUUAAGGUUUUAGACAAAUAGUGUCAGUGACUAGGGACUGGAUCCAAGUCUCCCUUAAUUCAAUUUCCAAUUCAUAUUUUGUUUUGUUUUAAUAUUCAAUGUGUAUAAUAUUCAAUGUCUCCUAUCAAAUAUUUGAAUUUAUUAAUAUACACAUUUUAAUUUAUUAAUUUUGUUUAACUUGCUCCAAUUAUAUCCUUAUAAUGUACCCAAAUGAGAAAACAUUAAAAAAAAGGACACGUAAGAAACAUGUAAAUACAUUAGUGUACCAAAAAUAUUUUUAAAAUUAAUGAAUUGAUGUACCUAAAUCAUGGAUGGAGCCAAUGAAGGCCCACUAGGGGUAGAUGCCCCUACUCAAGUAAUUCGUUGGUUAAGCUGCAUACUGCAAUUAUAUAUAUCCAUGUGUUAUCUUUGAAGAAAAUAUAUGUGCCUAAUAUCAAGCAUAUAUACCAUACUACUUCUACUCUAUAUCAAAUAUAAUAUGAGCAAAAGUGCUUUUGUUCUGUCAUUCAAACAGAAAAAACCCCUCAUUUGCCUGUCAUGUAUUAAUAUUUUUCUCAUCAAUUUGCCACUUUCAACUACUACUAAUUUUUUUGUAACAUUGCAAUUGCGAUACAUUGUCAUAUGAAAUCAUCUCCAAUAUCAUAUUUGGUAUAAGCCAUACUAUAAUAAGGUAUUCUUAGUUGUUUUUCAGGUUGCCCCCACUAGAAGAAAUCUAGUUUUGUCCCUGACCUAAAUGUUUGUACCGAAAUAUAUUAUAUUGAAUUAAUGUACCUAAAUGUUUGUACGAAAAUGUUUGUGCUAAAUGAUAUUAUAUUGAAUUAAUGUACUUAAAUGCCUCCAUCGAAAUGGACAUACCAAAAUGUAUUAAUAUACCUAAAUGAAUAACAUGAAGUGUAUUGGGAUAUUAUAUAAAUGAAAUUAGUUUACCUAUGUCUGUAACAAAAUCAAAUAUCAGAAUAUUAUUUGCGGAACCCCCAGAUGUUAUUGGGAUAUUAUUCCUUAUUCUUAUAAUGGAGUGGCACUCGGCCUCACCAAGUUAAGUUUACAUAAUUGUUCUGAUGUAGUUUGGUUUGAGGAACCCCCAGAUGUUGUUUGGGAAGUUCUCAACCAAGAUAUGUUACUCCCUUGAGUUUAUGAAUAUUAGCAAUCGUAUUCUAUUCAAAAAAGAAUAUAAUUAAAUGUAGUUAAUAUUAACAUUAGGAAAAAAAAACAUGAAAAUAUAAUUAUGAGGUUAUUAAAUGUGUUAAGGGACUAAAUUAGAUUUUAAUCUUAAGCUAGAAUUUAGUUUAAAAGUCAUAUUUUUUAAGAACUAAAACACAACUAAAACACAGUUUUCUAUUUUAAAUAUGUUAUUGUUGGUGCUUUGUGUGACUUGCAUAAACUUACAUUUGUGAACGUGAAGUUUGUCGACUUCAGAUCAAAGAUUUUAGGGUUCCAAAGGGUUGACUUUCCCAUCAGUGUUCACCGUAGCACGCUAUCAAUAUCAUAGCCAAUGUAUACGACUUAGACUUGACAGUUGUUCGACUUGAAUCUCAACUUGACUGGUAAAGCAAUAAUUUGGGUUAAACAAAACGGGCAAAUCUGCACAGACAGCUAAAAAACCGAUAAAGAGCAGAGGAAUGGAAUAAAAACAAGGAAAAAUCAAAAGACGUACCAUAUACCUUAUCUCUCUAUAUUCCAUUGCUUACAUAACGCCGAAGCACAAUUGGUUGGCAUAUGAAGCUGAACAAAAUAUGUUUGCCUUUUUUUUUUCUUUUCAAAUAAAACCGAGCGACAAGAAGUUGAAAUUGGCAGAAAAUGAAAUCAGGAAACACAGGAAAGCAACGAAAUUGAUUUUUCACUUUUAGAAGUAAAGCAAAGUAGAUUAAGCUAAAGAAGGUUGCUGUGAUGAAGAAACCAAAACGAGACAAGUGUGUAAUUAGAAGAUGGAGCGAAUAAUGAGAAAGGGAUGGGAAGAAAAGCUCUCUUAGCAGAAGAGAUGAGAUAAUGAAUGCAUGAGAGAGAGAACGUGGUACCAUAGAGAAGCCCACGUUGUAUGCAAUUAAAAAAGACUAAGGUAAGAAAAUGGCUGUAUUAGUUGACGUCUUGAGAAAUGUGACAAAGAACGUGGUACGAUAGGGAAGCCCAAUGUAGUAUGCAAUUGAAAAAGACUAAAUGAGGACUUAUUCUGGCAGGCAUUUCCUACUUCCUAGGUAAGAAAAUGGCUGAUUAGUUGGCGUAUUGAGAAAUGUGAGAGAGAACGUGGUACCAUAGAGAAGCCCAACGUUGGGAGAGAUUUUUCAAACCAUGAAACCUGGAAAUCUGUACAAAAGUUCUGAUUCCAUCUCUCAAAUUAUGGAAAAAAAUUUAAUUGUGAUGGGAAUAUGGUACAUUACGUGUUUUUAUGUAAGUAGUGGAAAAUUUUAAUUUUUAUGUUAUUAACCUUUUAAUACACAUAACUCACCAUUUAUAUAAGAACACGUAGUAUACCACCUCGUGUGACGGUCACACAGAAAAAUCUUUCCAAAUCAUGAAAGGGUCAUGGCUAAGUUACAAAAACUCCAUUAAAAACUCCUCAACCAAACUCACUAACUCAUAAUCCACAAAAUAUAUAUACAAUUAUUCACAAAUUUCCGAUGGAAAAAAUUUGAGGAAAAAAAGGUGUAGGGAGAAACCCACAGAAAAAUUAAUAAUUUUGGAAAAGAGAGAGAGACAAAUUCAAAUUGUAGAUUUACCCUGGACUUUUUUCAGUUUCAAAAUUUAGAUCUUGGGUUGUUUCUUUUGUUUACAGAUUCAAAUCUUGGGCUUGCCCAGUAUAGUUCGAUGGAUAUUUGAAAAUUGACAACCACGGUUACCAAUUCUUAGUGUGAGAGAGGAGAGCUGAGAAUUUUGGAGAGAAGAGAGUAAGGCUUUUACAAUGCUUUUGGCUUCAUCGGGAAUAUGAAAGGGUGAAGAACAGCAAGUGGAGAGAAAUAUAAUUUUAAAUUACUAUUUUCUUAAGUUAUAUUAACAGUGGGACUCAAGGAGCACUAUCAAUUAUAGUCAGAUACAAGUGUUGGGCAAGUCCGGCUAGACUCCCUUUUGGUGCAAGUCCCGCUAGCAUUUGGGGCGAGUCCGGCUAGCAUUCUCCUUGAUCGGAAGUCUACGAACUUCAACUUCACAAACGUAAGUAAUAAGGUAUAAGUUUUUUUUUUUUUUUUUUGGAAAAUGGGAAUACAUUACCUAGGCUAAGAAGUCAAACAUACAAAGAAAGCCUACCGCGAGGCAAGCAAACAACAUAGCAAAAGAGAACCCAGACAACAUAGAGAGAUAAAAGGAAGACAUCAAAACCACACUACUCCAUCACUCCCUCCACUGCCCAUAAGCCAUCAAGGAGGACAGGGUAAACCAUCAUUAUGAAGUACAAAAACUAACGAAGAUGGGGGUCCAUUGACCCAAGAAACCUUGCACAUCUCCACACACUACUUCGACGCUAAGAAGUCCGCCAUCAUGUUGGCUGAUCUUGGAAUCCAAGACCAGCGACAGUCCUGAAAAGACUCCCCUAACCGUCUAGUAUGCAGUAAAGCAAGGUAAGCUUCCCAGCUGCCAUUCUCAAUCGAAGUCGACAGGGAAGUAAUAGAGUCGUGAGAAUCAGAUUCAAUAACAACCUGCUUGAGUCCCAAGUCUAGCCCAAAUUCACAUCCUUUAAUAAUUGCCACAUGUCACAUCCCGAUCCGAGUCCACCACCGUAGCACGAUAUUGUCCGUUUUGGGCUUACCAUUCCCUCACGGUUUUGUUUUUGGGAACUCGCGAGUAACUUCCUAGUGGGUCACUCAUCCUGGGAGUACUCUGACCUCCUUUUCACUUAACUUCGGAGUUCCUACAAAAUCCGAAGUCAGUGAGCUCCCAAAAUGGACAAUAUCGUGCUACGGUGGUGGAACGGGCCCGGGAAGUAGUCCGUCUCGGGCCGAGAUGUGACAAAUGGUAUUAGAGCCAAUCCCUGGUCGAAAAUAUGCCGACGAGGACGUCGGGCCCAUAAGAGGGGUGGAUUGUAACAUCCCACGUAGCCCAGGGGAGUGAUCCUUAAAUGUAUAUUCCCAUCCCUACCUAGCACGAGGCCUUUUGGGAACUCACUGGCUUCGGGUUUUGUAGGAACUCCGAAGUUAAGCGAGAAGGAGGUCAGAGCACUCCCAGGAUGGAUGACCCACUGGGAAAUUACUCGUGAGUUCCCAAAAACAAAACCGUGAGGGAAUGGUAAAUCCAAAGCGGACAAUAUCGUGCUACGGUGGUGGACCCAGACCGGGAUGUGACACCACAGCUUCAGCAGCGCCCACCGAAGGAGCGCAAAUAGCAUGUCGUUUGGCGCCCACAAAAGAGCCUGCUACAUCCCUAAUGACAAUCCCCAAAAAACCAGAGCUAUUCUGAGCCGACCAACUAGCAACAUUGACUUUGAAAUAGGGCUCGGUAUGAGGGAGCUAAGAGGAUAUUCUAUCACAGAGUAGCGUAGUUCCAGGGCCUUGUGAAGGCUUCCGGACAACAGCAAAGAAAGCUCCAAUGGAUAUAUUUAUAUCACAAAGAACCUUGGAAAGAUUAAUAGAACUCUAUGCAUACAAGAAGUUACACCCAGCUUUCCAAAUGUGCCAACAAGUGAAAGCAACAUAUGAUAACAGAUACAUGCAGUCUUCAUGAGAACCCACAUGCAGAUUGGAAAUAGAAAAGAGCCAUUUUAUCCAAUUUGAGAAUUCAUACCUGUUAAUUCGAAGGUUUAGAAUCCCCCCAAACUAGAUGGCUUCCACCUAUGGGCAUUGCAAAAAUAAGUGUUCAAUGGACUCCACCUGAGUAUGGCAAAUUAGACAGGUCGGAUGAGGAGCGGAACAACGCUUAAACAAAGCCUCCAUCGUAGCCAAAACGUCAUGGAAGGUCCGUCAUAGAAAAAGUUUGAUCUUUGGUGGAGUAUGCAACUGCCAGAUUAAUUUCCAAACUCGGCUAGUAUGACUAGUGGACGAAGCAGGAUGAAACAAAGAUUGGUUGCGAUAUUGAGAAUGCAGCCAGUUGUAUCCAUAUUUCACCGAGUACUAACAAUUCUUAGUUGCCAGCCAAAUAAGCCGAUCAUCUCUCCCCGGAAGUAAUAAGGUAUAAGUUACGUUAUCAAUACUUAGGUAAUGAUUCAAUCAUCUACAAUCACAUAAUAUAAUUUAUAAAAUAUGAUUUAAAUAGAUAGUUUCUCUAACAAUAUGGUACAUUAACACAAGGUGAAUGUUCUUCAUGAAGAAAACCUCACAAUAAGGCCGAAGCUUCCUAAAUGGUUCUUUUUCCCAACUUCGCAGUACUAAAAUUUAGCACCUUAGGCCAUCUCCAACCGAAGAAGGGCCAAAGGGCUCUCUUGAGCCUUAUAGCCCUCCAAAAAAUUAAUAUUUUAAUAAACAGUGUCAAACCAUUUUUCUUACCAUCUCCAACCAAGGGGUCAGAUGGUCAUAGGCCAAACAUAGUCCUUUGACAAAAAACCAUCUUCAACCGAAGAGGCCAAGGAGUCAUAAGGACAAAUUUAAUUUAUUAUUUUAAUUGAAUUACUAUGGUUACUUAAAUUAAAUUACCUCAAUAAUUUUACGUUAUGGAUUGUCAAUAAUUUUUCGAGAUGGGAAAAUAUUUAAAUAAUAAAAAACAAUUUUUUCGAUUGUAUAAUUUUUAUAUUGUUUAAUGUUACUUAAUGUUAUUUAAUGUUGUUUAAUAUUGUUUAAUGGUGUUUCAUGUUACUUAAUGUUAUUUAAUGUUAUUUAAUGUUGUUUAAUGGCUUAGGAAGUUCUAGGAAAAAAAAUAGAACUAAAUUUUUUUUUUUAAAAACGAAAAAUAUUUUUAAAAAAAAAAAUUCAAAUAUGACGUCAACAAAUGGCCCGGCACGGGGCUGGCUGGGUUAGGCCAGCUGGUUGGCCUUUUUCUCCUUUUUGGCCCAGUGGGGCCCACGAGCUCUUUGGCCUAACCCUCGGUUAGAGGCAGUUUUUGUGUCAUUUCAGGCUAUUUUCGGCCGUAUGGCCCUCUGGCUGGAUCGGUUGGAGAUGGCCUUAGUUUUACUAUAUCUCCAAAAAUUGUUUACCAACAACAGUAAAGUCUUUUCCCAUUAAGUGGAGUCGGCUGUAUGAAUCCUAGAACGUCAUUCCGCUCGGUUAUGUGCCACGUUUUCCGUUAGAUCCAAGUACUCUAAGUCUUUUCUUAGAGUCUCUUUCAAGGUCUUCAUCUACUCUUUUGGCCCUGAACCUCUCUCGUAAUCGCAUCUUCUAACUAGAGCGUCAGUAGGCUUUCGUUUCAAAUUUCCAAACUACCGUAACCGAUUUUCUCUCAUCUUUCCUUCAAUUUCGACUACUUCUACUUUACCUCGGAUAUCCUUAUUCCUAAUCUUAUCCUUUCUCGUGUGCCCACACAUCCAACGAAGCAUUCUCAUCUCGGCUACAACCAUUUUAUGUACAUGUUGAUACUUCAUUGCCCAACAUUCGGUGCUAUAAAGCAUUGUUGGCCUUAUUGUCGUCGUAUAAAAUUGUUUACCAAAAAAGAAAAAAGAUGUCCGACAUAGGCUCAAACACAUUAGAAUCUUAAAAGGAUAUUGCCGAUGGACUUAUAUUCUUUAAUUUGCCCAAUAGUACACGCUUAACUCAUUCAAGUAUGGAAAAACUGGAUCAUCAGCUAGAGGGGAGUUCUCAUUCCCUAAAUGCAUCAGCUCUGGCAUUUCACGGAGCCGCGAAGUCUUUACAUGUGGAAGGGUCCCAACUGCAUGUACUUCCCGGCUAGUAUUUCCUUCCUGGGCAAAUAUUUUCUUUCCAAGGUGCAGAACGCAAAAAGAGUGCUUCAAGCUUCUGUAAUUUUUGAAGGAAAAUAAAUAUCUUGGGGUGUGCUGCCGGAGAAAAAGUUAAAGAUCGUAGUCUAUUACUGAAGUCCACUGGCAAUGGACCAUACGGUUCAUAGAAAAUCUCUAUGUUGUGGUCCAAGAAACAAAAUGUACCGUAAACCCAAAUGUACCUAUAUUAUAAGUAAUCAAACGUACCAAUAUGAUCAAAUGAUCAUACAAUUAAACAUACCUUUAAUAAAAUCGUAAGAAAAAUGUUUAAUCAAAUUCUUAAAAGGAACGGAUAUUUAAUCAACAAAAUUGAAAAAUGAGGUUCCUAUGCCAAAUAAUAUUUGGAUACAUAUAGAAUUGUCAUCUCUCUAAUAACAGUAAGCCCUACAAUUGUAAAUGUGCAACACGCCUAUAUUGAAGGAUAUAUGCCAACAAACUUUAGGUUGGUACGAACAUCUCCAAGAGACUAAUCAUAUUUUUGUUAUUUUUAACACAAUUAUUGGUGAAUUAUAAAUGCUCUUUUCGACCUCAAUCUACCGUUUGCAUUCAACCGAGAUGCCUAGAAACUUUUGAAAAAGAGGACAAAUAAUCAUUUUAAUGAAAUUUUUUAUAAAAUUAGUUUUUUCAAAGAAAAUGUAUUAAAAGGAAUUUCGCUUAAGAAAAUUGUGUACAAGCAUGACACACCCCGUCCUGAAGGAGGGCAUGUUGGUCGUCACGUGAGAGUGACGUAAUCAUUUACACAGUUCGGGAGCUUAACAAAAAAACAAUUACUAAGAUGAAACACCUGAGGGUGAGUCCUACUUUUGUGAAUUCUGUCAGAACACCGUUGGAUUCCUCGUGGCCACCAAAGCUCUGCUAUCUGGAACCUGAAGGGGUGCAAAACAAAAUUGAGUGGGUCAGUAAAACAAAGUUUUUCGAAAACAUUUCAUUUAAAACAUUUCUAACCCCUCACUGUAAAACCUGUAUACUUUCCAAAAAAAUAACAUAAUAAUAUAUAAAACCUCAUACGUCACAAAUCACCAAUCUAUCACAAAUCCAGGAAUAUGCCAUGCCAUAAAUGUCAAUAACAAAACGCGGAUGCAUCAAAAUAACAGGUGACAUAAUGAAUCAACUGGAGACCCUGCAGUUGGUCCUGUACGGUUGAUUCCAUAGCUCAACAUCCAACCCAGCUGGAGUCACCACGGUGACCUGUACGGCACUACUCUGCACAUCAGUCGGAAUUACCUGAAGUAGUCUGUACGACAAGGAUGGUGUAAUGAUACGCUCUAGUGCUUCUCUCAUCAAUCAUCUACGCGUGUAAUCUAAGGUCACCUACUAGUCGGAACCACCUCUAGUGGUCUGUACGACUAGCAUGUCGGAACCCUCUCAUGGUCUGUACGACAUGCACCUACUUGGAUCCAAGGUAAGCAUGCGGUGCGGUGAAUAAUAUAAGCACUAACACCGGGGUGCAGGUUAUGAGUUCUUAACACAAUUCACAUUAUCGAUGAUUCACAUGAUUAACAUAAAACUCACCUGAUACUCACAUGUGCGUCCACAACACCAAUUCAUAUAUAUAUAUAUAUGCAUCAAUAUCAAUUCAUAUAAUUCAUAAUAUGCAUGCAUGGCGUUUGAAAACAUACUUUCAUAUAAAUUCAAUUUCUGGGAAAAUUAAUAGUAUAUAGGUAUAUACUGAAAACAAAACUGCCCACUCACCUGGAGUUCACCCAAAAACUCCCUAGCACCACACAUCAAGGUGUCAUGACGAUCGGCGCCUAGAACAAUAAUCAAAUCCAACCUUAGAAUUCAUAUCGAUAGAAUAUAUAACUUAUAUAUAACACGUCACUACGUAGUUCGAUCCGGAAGAUCUGCAACUCAGAUUUCAAAUCCAUAACUUCCAGAGGUCCACAAUAUACUUCUAGGACAACAUCCUAAAAUUUCAUUACCAUCCAACGGUCGGAUCUCCGUCAAUUUCCAAAACCAAGUGACGGUUAACAUUCUAUUUUAUGAAAUUACAACUCCAAUUCCAAAAGAUCCGUAAAUCGGAUUCCCGAUCUGUAAGUUCCUGUAAUCCUCAAAUAUUACGUAUUACAACGUAUCAAAGUUUGGUGACGAUCCAACGGUCGGAUCGUCAAUUCACAUUUUCACCUAACCACGAAUCGAGACGAACUUAGGUUCAAUUACUCAAUUUACGUCCAUCAAUUAUCAAAACUGAACCUAGAACCUUAAACACAUGCUAAGAAUGACAUUGGCGGGCCAUUUUCCAUGCGCUGCCGCACCGGCCACCACUGGUGGCGGUCGGCCGCCCCGACUCGCUGGAAAAUCCAACUAUUUCCAAAAAUUACCAAAAUUUGCAGAUUUGAAGAUCUAAAUGAGUAGAGUAAACUUCAUACCUAAAGACAAGGCCAAUUUGGCCUGGAAGAGCUCCAAUUUUGCCAAAACCGUGAAGAACCCUAGAAUUGGGUGUUUUCAAUUCGACCUUCAAAUCAACUCCACCGUCCAAAUCAAUGCUUGGCCUUUGUUCCAGGUCCUAAGGGAAUGCUAAUGGUGUUAGUAAUUGAAAGAAAACAUUUCAAGAUUUGAAGAAUUUGAAUAAGAAAGUCGCGGCACCCACGGGUGCGUUUUUCACCAAACCACCAUCAAAUUUCAUGAUUUUUUGGGUGAAACAUGAAGAGGGAAGGCCUAGGUGUUGAUUGGGAGUGGUACCUUGAUCCAAUUCGUCGGAAAAUUGAACAAGAACGGCGAGAAACCGCCGGUUUGAAGGCACAGGUCGCACGGGUCAAGGAUGACCCGUUUCCUCCUUUUCCCCCGUUCACCACUCUCCCUCAUUUCCCUCCUUUCUUCUCCCUCUGAUUGGUCCUCCACCUUCUCUUCUUUCUGGUUGGCCCAACUCCUCCCUCUCUCCUGUUCCAAUUGGGCAGCUUGCCCUUCUCUCCUCCUUUCUGUUUAUCCUUUUCUUUUCUUCACAAACAUACACACACAAAAACCUUUCAACAUCUUUUUAUUUUAUUUUAUUUUAUUUUUUAUUUUUUUAUUUCCUUGCAUCCAAGCCAUCCAAAUUUUAAUAAUAAAAUUCAUAAAAUGCCCAAACUUCAAACUUUAAAAUCUUUUUCGUUAUAACUCCAAAUAACGGACCGUCUGCACCCACGCUUCCGUAGCGACAAGUAUUACGAGGAUAUGCCAAGAAAACAAAUCUUAGAUGGCACGACACGACGAUUAACCUCGACUAAUGCGUGUGCCUCAAAGGGCAUUUUUGAAAAAUCCUUUAUUAAAACUUUAAAAACUCUUAAAAUCAGGGACCGGCUGUCACAAGCAUCUUACCUUGUCAAUAAAAUAGAAUGGUGGUUUGACUGGUGUAUAGAGGCUCAACUAAUCAAGGUUUUCCUGAAAUCUUGAAACUUCAUAAGUAAAAAUCUCCAUAUUACCACAUUCAUUGAAAUUCAGUUGCUUAAGUAAUAGCCACUUGGAAACAUACAGGACAGGAGAAAACUCCUACGUUAAGGUAGAUUUUCAAAUCUCACAUAUGCAACAUUUGGUGUGACACCCUACAUGUGUAUUUUAAUUAUUGGACUAGACUAUGUACCGAUUAAUGUUUAAACUUUGUAAUUUAAUCUAUGAUCAAAGUGAUUACUUUUAAUCUUUAUAGUUGAAAGAUUUACCAAAGUGUCAUUUUAAUUAUAGCCAUGGUGAGUUUCUUGAUACUCAUUGUGGGACCAAAAUAUAUAAGGGGAGUUUUGAUGCAUGCCUAGGUUUUGAAUUUUGAGAUUAAACAUUUAUGCCUUUUAGAGUUUUGAUUAAAAAUCUUCCUACAAUUUAGGUGCCACAUGGAUUAGAAGUAGCCUUUUUUAUAAUUUAAAUUACCCAACUUGCCAUUUUAUAAAUAUACCUUUUAAUUCCUAGAUAAUACAUCAAAACUCCUAAAAUCUUGUAGAUAAAUAUUGUAGAAUUUAAUUCCUAUAAAAUGUCUUUCAAAAUACCCAUGAAUGCGACUUGCCAUUAUAUUUAAUAUACCUUUUAAUUUUCUUAGAUAAUAUCUCCAAGCUCCUAAAAUCUUGUAGAUAAAUAUUGUAGUAUUCAAUUUUAAUAAAAAGUCUUUCAAAUUACACAUAAAACCUUGAUUUCUUCUUGGUACAUAUUUGAUAUGUUACUUAAUAUAUCUUCUUGGUACGUAUUUGGUAUGUUUGAACUUUUUUUUUUGUUUUGUAUGUAUUUGGUAUGUUUAUACCAUACUUAGGGUCUCCGUAUUUAGACCUCGUAUAAAUACCGGGGGACAUAAGUGUAAUUAUGUAAUAAAGGAAAGGCCAAAUAUGUAAUAAGUGAGGAGCCAUUAUUCUAUAAAAGGACGCCUUACCCUCACAAUGAGAGGAGGCCAAUUCCUAGGCCCUCUCACCCUCUUACUUUCUUGCAGAUUCACGGUCGGAUUUAAGUUGUUCCAAGACCCCUCCGGUUUUGUGCAUCAACAUUUGGCGCCAUCUGUGGGAAUCGAACAAAAAAACUAUGUCGGUUCUCUUUCAUUUUUUACCUCCGCCAUGGAUUUGCAAAAUCUGCAAAAUCCAAGAAACCAAACACCUACAGAAUGGUAGAGAAGGACCUGGAUAUUUAGGGGAGAUAAGGACCCAGAUCUGCAAAUCCACCGAGAUAGAACCUCUCUCUCUGUCUCUCCCUGUCUCUAUCUCUGUCUCUCUCUCCCUUGUAUUAGCAUACUGCAGCCAUAAACUAGGUACCUCCAUAAUCCUGGGCUGUGACUUCAUAAUGGAGACCAAGUAUUAAACCACAGAGGCCGACUCGGCUUCGCUAUCUGCGCCAAGUACUGCGACUCCAGCUUCACCACCAAGCUCCAGAAGCCCUCCCUCCUCGACUCCCCUGCCAGCAACGGAGGCAUCUCCGUCUCUAUGUCCGCUAACGGCUUGAACCCAUCAUACGAUUUGAGCUCCUUCAAGUUCGACUCCAUCAAGGAAUCCAUCAUCUCUAGGGAGAUGACCAGGCACUACAUGACCGACAUGAUCACCUAUACUGACACCGGCGUCAUCGUAGUAAGUGUUGGCUUCGCCUGACUCUCUUGCGCCUAUGAGCUCAGGAAGAACCCCAACGUUUAGGUCGCCAUAACAGAGCAAUCCGUCAGCCUGGUGGCGGUGCACGGCUUGGUGGCCAACUCUUCUCUACCAUGGAUCCGGAUCCCAAACCCCAUACGACUUCCGGGCGACCGGCGAGAAAAUCCGGUCAAUCAACCCGAACCCAGAAUAGGAUUUUCAUUGGAAACAUCUAUGAGAAGAAGCUGAGAAACUGCAACUGGGCGGACCCAUUGUUGUCUUUGGCCAUGUGGGCAUGGAUGCUCAGUUGGUUCACCCAUCACGCACCACCAAACAACAAAAUAUAUUUUCCUCACCAACGCUAAAGCCAACGCCAACUAACAUAGCCAAAGCACCCAAGCAAUCGAGAACACGAAAAGCAGACGGAAAUGGCGUCACCUGCCGCAAGGAUCACUUUUCGCAUCACCGUUAAAAUCAACCCAGUUCAUCAAGUUCCAAUUCUCACCUGUUUCUGUGAGGUUCAUGAAAAGAGAAGAUGUGGAAGCAAAUCUCUUAGAGCUCAAAAGAAAAGUGGACUCAUCAUUUCUCGGAGAAAGAGGUGCUAUAAUUUACACCGGAGAUCUAAAGUGGGUUGUUAGUGAUGAGGAGAGAGAUCAAAACCAAAACUCUGGUGGGUAUUAUAGCCCAGUUGAGCAUUUGGUUUCAGAGAUUGCAAGGCUGGUCUCUUCAGAUAAUUCAAUCACUAGAUCAAGGGGGAAGGCGUGGGUGAUGGGAACUGCAAGUUACCAAACACAUAUGAGGUGCCAAAUUAGGCAGCCACCUCUUGAGAUUCAAUGGUAUCUCCAAGCUGUUUCUGUUCCUUCUGGUGGUUUUCGUCUCUCCCUUCAUGCUUCCAGGUGAAAUCCAAUGGACGAGAAUAACCCGCCUCGGGCGUCACGUAACCACUACUCCUUCCAUUCCCGAAGACAUCGCAGGAGAAGCAGAGGAGCUGCCGUCCCUCCCCGGAAACCAAUUUUACUUUGUUUCCUCUGUCACUUCCCAGCUCGUCCUUGACCGCAUUAUGUCACAAUCUGUGAGAGAUGAAGUGUCUUCAUUGACAUCAAGGAGGUUUUCACAUAGCAGUGGACCUCUGAAUAAUGGUGGUUCUCUAACAGAGAUGGAUAGCCCUCCAGUCUCACCCUAUGAUGAGUUCGACGACGUCGUUAAGUAUUUUUGAACCCACAACAGCAUACAAAACCUAUUAAACGGCAAGUCCAUGCAGCGAUUUCAGUUGCUGCGGUGGUUUCAGUAGCUGCAGCGAUUUCAGUUGCUAUGAUGGACGUUGUGAUAUCGACGGUGAGUUUCCUGCAAACUGCAGACCAAACCAAGAUCAUUGCAGCCAUCAAAGAAGCUGGCAAUAUCAAGAGAUUUUUUUUUCCCGUCGAAAUUUGGAAACCAAAACCACAACCGCCAGAUUUGAUAUUCACGCCGCCGUUGCCGUCAAACUUUGGCUGGAAAUCUACUAGAGUCCGAUUCAAGCAGGCUGCAAGUGUUCACAUUUCUAGUGAGAACAGUAACAUGGAUAAGCAGCAGGAGGAACCCACUCUGAAAACUGGUAGCGCACAGACUGACAGAGACAAAGACGCACUGGAAAGCAAAAGGAAAAGAAAAAAAGAAAAAGAAAAAUGAGGAGUGAUGGGCACGACCAAGCUGUCCAAGAAAAGCAAGUGGUUUGCAAAACAAAAGAUGCCUUACAAAUCAACAUGGGUGGACAAUGAAGGAGCAGGGAGGACAGCAAAAGCAAGGAAUAAACACUCCACCAGAAUGAUGUGGUUUACUUUCCUUAUUUUUGAAUGAUGUAAUUUAUUUUUCGUAUUUUUCGAAGAUAUCUGUAUAACCCCAUCAGAGGGUAAUAAAAAAAAGGGCAAAACCCAAAAUAAAUGGGCUGGAAUGUUAUGUGGAGGGCGAAGACCCAUAACCCCAAAAUAGUACCAACCAAGUGACCAAAAGUACGCCCAGUACUACAAAAAAUUAUUCGGCACUCUGCCGCUAUUGUUGCCAACCAGGUGAUCAAAAGUACGCCCAAUACUCCAAAUUAUUCGGCAGCCUACUGCUAUUAUCACCAACCAGGUGAUCAAAAGUACGCCCAGUACUUCAAAUUAUACAUGAGCAUUACUCAUGUUAAUCAUACAUAAACAUUCAUGAGCAUUACUCAUAUCAAUCAUACAUAAACAUUCAUGAGCAUCACUCAUGUCAACAUUCAUGAGCAUCACUCAUGUUAGCAUCCAUGAGCAUUACUCAUGUCAUUCAACAUAAACAUUCAUGAGCAUCACUCAUGUCAAUCAGCUUCAAAAGUUUCAUUUAUAGAGCUCUAGCUUCAAAAGCUUCAAUUACAAAAGCUCUAGCUUCAAAAGAUUCAAUUACAGAGCUAUAGCUUCAAAAGCUUCAUUUACAAAAGCUCUAGCUUCAAAAGCUUCAUUCAUAGAGCUCUAGCUUCAAAAGCUUCAUUUAUAUAGCUCCAGCUUCAAAAGCUUCAUUUACAAAGCUCCAGCUUCAAAAGCUUCAUUUAUAUAGCUCCAGCUUCAAAAGCUUCAUUUACAAAGCUCCAGCUUCAAAAGCUUCAUUUACAGAGCUUUACCUUCAAAAGCUUUAUUUACAAAAGCUCUAGCUUCAUAAGCUUCAUUUACAGAGCUCCAGCUUCAAAGCUUCACUUGCAAAGCUUCACCUACAAAGCUUCAGUGCAGGGUAUACAAAUACCGCAUCUGAACAACCGCCAUUUCGGCCCAUACAUGGAUUCAAUUUGAAGUCUCCAGCCAACAGAUUCUAUUGACCGAAGACUUAGGGGACUACACUAUACACCAUAUAUUAGGCCUCAACUGGGCCACAUGAAAAAUACUUGGGGGACUCUAGCCCAUCAUGUAUGUAUUGAGGAGCGAGCUCUUAUUCUAUAAAAGGGACUCCCUCACCAUCAUUAGAGAGCAUCAACUCUAGCCCAUCAUUCAUGUAUUGAGAAGCGAGCCCUUAUUCUAUAAAAGGGACUCCCUCACCUUCAACGCCACAAGCCGAGCCAACCAAGGCAACAUGAGCCACGAGCCGAGCAGCCUCACAGCAUGUGCUACUUCUAGUUGAGCAUCAUUUCCGAUUAAGCAUCGCCUCAUAUCGAGCAUUAGUUCAAGACAACAUCUAGUUACUUUGGCCCACACAUGGACUGAAUUUCAAGUCUCCAGCCAAAAGACUCUCUUGACUGAAGACUUGGGGGACUACUGUUUAUACCAUACCAUACUUAGGGCAUUCGUAUUUAGACCUCGUAUAAAUACUCAGGGGACUUAAGUGUAAUUAUGUAAUAAAGGAAAGGGCAAAUAUGUAAUAAGUGAGGAACCCUUAUUCUAUAAAUGGACCCCUCACCCUCACAAUGAGAGGAGGCCAAUUCCUAGGCCCUUUCACCCUCAGAAGCUCUGUCUCACAAUCUUAUCAGAAAUAUCAUAAUCAGUGUGGAUGUAGCCCAAACAUUGGGGUGAACCAUGAUACAUUUUGUGUUAUUUACUUUCUUGCAGAUUCACGGUCGGAUUUACGUUGUUCCAAGACCCCUCCGGUUUUGUGCAUCAACAUGGUACGUUUAUAUUUAUUUAAAAAAAAAACAUAUUUGGUACGUUACUUUAUAUAUGUUCUUGGUACUUAUUUAGUAUGUUCAUAUUUCUUUUUUGUAUGUAUUUGGUACAUUUAUAUAUCUUAUUUUGGUAUGUUUAUAUUUAUUUAAGAAAACAUAUUUGGUACGUUACUUUAUAUAUCUUCUUAGUACAUAUUCCAUACGUUUAAAUAUAUUAUCUGAAUGUACCAGCCUCAAGCCUCCGAAAAUAGAGAAUACGUUUAAUUAUCUCACAUGACAUCAAUAUAAACUAAUGAAAACAACCACUAAUUGAAAUGGAUAAGUCCAUUCAAAAUUCAAAAUUCAAAAUUCAAAAAUAAGGAUCACAUAAUUCUAACGUGGGAGAAGAAACUAUACGGCUUAAACGUGAGAGAAGAAACUGGCUUCCUAAAAAAAAGGCCACGUACAAAAAUAUAUCAACCUAAAAAGAUAUUUAUGGAAUUUAAUAAUUAACAUUUUAAAUUAAAAAAACACAAUAAUUGUCACAUCCGACCCGGGGCCAUUAUGAGAUCCCGCAUCGCCUAGGGGAGUGGAUUAUCUAUGGCUUAUAUGUACAUACCCACCUCCAAUUAGCACGAGACCUUUUGGGAGCUCACUGGCUUCAGGUUCCGUAGGAACUCUGAAGUGAAGCGAGAAAGGGGCCAAAGCAUUCCCAUAAGUGGUGACCCACUGGGAAGUUCUAUUCGCGUGAGUUCCCAGAAACAAAACCUUGAGGGCGUGGUCGGGGCCCAAAGCGGACAAUAUCGUGCUAGGGCGGAGUCGAGCCCGGGAUGUAGUAGGGGCCUGCGUCGGGAUGUGACAAUUUGGUAUCAGAGCUAAUCCCUGGUCGGAAGUGUGCCGACGAGGACAUCGAGCCUCUAAGGGGGGUGGAGUGAAAUCCUACAUCGCCCAAGGGAGUGGAUCCUCUAUGCCUUAUAUGUACAUACCCACCUCCAAUUAGCACGAGGUCUUUUAGGAGCUCAUUGGCUUUGGGUUCCGUAAGAAUUCUGAAGUUAAACGAGAAAGGGGCCAGAGCAUUCCCAAGAUAGGUGACCCACUGGGAAGUUUUACUCACGUGAGUUCCUAGAAACAAAAUCGUGAGGACGUGGUCGGGGCCCAAAGCAGACACUAUCGUGCUAUGGCGGAGUCAAGCCUGGGAUGUGGUGGGAGCCUGGUCGGAAUGAGACAAUAAUUACAUGUAAUCUAAAUAAAUAUAAAAAUGUUGACAUGACUAUUGUUUAGGCAUCCUAAUCAAAUUUCAAAAUAAAACCAAUGUUUAAUUUAAAGAGUAUUAAAAAAGUACAAGAGAUUCUAAUUUUCCCAAUACAUAAUAGAUAAAUAAAAUACAUUUAUGUAAGAAGGGGGGACCUUUCUUUCAUUCUCUCCACUAAUUCUCUCAGCUCUCUUAAAAAUUAAAAAAAUUGAAAACUAAUGAAAAAAUUUUGAAAAUUUUGAAUUUUAACGAUAAGGAUAUAUUAAUGGAUAAAAUAAAUAGUAUCAUAUUUAAUUUUUUAAUGUAAAAAUAUAAUUUUUUGUUAAAAUGAGUUGUACUAACCUUUUCGUUAAAACUCCAUUAAAAAAAAAAACAACCAUGGAGGGAGUCGAAGACGCGGCAUCGCUGAUCAACUCCGCCAACACUCCGCUGCCGCCGUUUCUGAACAAAAUCUACGAUAUGGUGGAUGAGCCCUCCACCGACACCUUUGUCUCCCUCCUGGAGCAACGGCAACAACAGCUUCGGCGUCUGGAACGUCCCUGAGUUCUCGAGGGACCUCCUGCCCAAGUAUUUCAAGCACAGAAAUUCUGUAACUUCGUCAGGCAGUUGAAUACUUAUGUGGGUAUUUCUUCCCUUUCCUAAAUUUUGGUUCUUUCGUGCUUUUUCUGCAUUUGAUUCUUGUUUUCGCGGUGAUUCCGGUCGGAACUGGGAAAUUCGGAGUGGUUACUCGGGAUCAAUGUUCAAUUAGGUUUUGCAAUUGUUAUUUUGGCAAAAGGGUUAUCGAAUUUGAGGUUGUAAAUUGUGAAGAUAAAUUAUGUUUGUUGAAUUGUAUACUUUGUCAUUCAUUGGGUUCCUUAGGUCUAGUCGAUCAUGUAAAAGUGAUUUCAAUUUGUGGUGUUUGUUCUGAACCAGGUGAAAACCUGGAAGGAAAAAGGACAUAAAGAGGUCAGAACUACAUUGAGAUAUAAAAUUUGAGCCGACUACUUUCGUGCAAAUUGCCUUGUUUUACGUGCUUCUUGGAUAAAUUUGUUCCAUUGCAUUGCUUCUUCUUAUUGUAGUAACUAUGAGAAAAGGGCAAGCAAAACCUACUCCUAACAAGUUGCUGGCUUUUCAGCCGUGCAAGUUGUGCUUAUUAUGCUGUGAGGGAAGAUCCUUUACAUUGAUGAAGAUAUUUUCUGAAAUGAUUGGUAGAUGUUUUCUCAAAAGAUUUCAGUUGAAAUACCAAUUGUAGUGACUGUCAUUGCCAUAUCCGCAAGGUCUCUAGAUUAUUCAAUGUGCCCAUCGUUCUUGGCACAAGGAUAUUUAUUAGACUCUGGCAUCUGUAACUUUAUCCAUCGAUCAUACCUUCACCCUCCAAGCUUGAUGAAACAUUAGGUGAAAUCAGUCCAAGUCCAGAGCAACCACUCAAAUUCAAGAUCGUGCAUUCUAACACUUUGAUCAUCAUAACCGUCUUUGAAUCAAUGAAUGAAAUGCAUUUCGUGCCUCUUCCACAGUAUCGACAAUUUUAAACAACUCUAAACCCAUAAUAUAUAUCAAACCAGACUCUGGACAAUGCCGAACAAUUCCUCAAGCACUCGGGCAAAUACCCUAUUAGAUUGUUAUUGUUCACUUUGAAACUUGCAAAGCAAAUCUGCUACACAACUCCGGUGACAGUUACAAAAACCAAGCUCAAAAGCGAUUGGAAGAGUUUAAGGAAUUCUCACCAAGGUCAAGGUAAUGAAGUUUCCGGAGUUCGCCUAUUUCGAUGGAAUUUUCCCCAUAAUCUGUUUUUUUUUCCCGUUUGUACAUUUGGUUCAAGUCUCUCUGUUUAUUGUUUUGUUUGUUGUCGUCUGUGAGGAUGGUUUUUUAUUGUUUGCGUUGUGUCUUGCAGGAUUCAUAGAUAAUAGAUUUGGCAUGCGCUGCCAGGCGUGUAACUGUGUAAAGACACUCUCUUCGUUUCAUUUAAAACGGUACAUCGACUAUUUCGAUGAAAUUCUCUGUUUGUGCCAUGGCUGCUGAGGGUAUUUUCCCCACUUAUAUUAUGUCUUUCUUUUGUUUAUCUGCGGCUUUCAUGCUGAAUUAUUGCUCUUUGAAUUGUUUUGAGGAUAACCAAUUGGUCAAAUUGUUCAAAUUUUGGAUUUCAGUGACCUUUUGUGUGCAUUUUUGGUUUGGUUCUUAAUUGAAAUGAAUCGAAUUGAAUAUUUGUAACCAAAAUAAUUGAUUUUUAAAAUUGCCCAAAAUUUUCAAAUUUGGUAAUUUAGUGUGCUUUUAUGUGCAGUUCUGGUUUGUUUCUUAUUUGAAAUGAAUUGAAACGAAUUAAAUAUUCAUUAAGCCUUUAUGCACAUUUCUGGUUUAAUCCAUUAUUCUAACACAUACAAUAUUUAUAAUUUUUCACCACUCAAAUGCAUCAAUGUUUACAGAAAUCACACAAGCAUUAUUUCCCAAACACCAAAACUGAAAAUGUAGCGAAUAAAGCCUCAAAUACAAAUCACACUAUCACGACGAAACACACAAGUCAAUACAAGCAUAACAUGACGUGGAAUAUGAUUCAGUGCCUUCUCAAAUUGCACAGAGAAUAGUUAGAGCAAGUAACAAGGAAAAUCAGAGUGCCUUCCUGUCUGUUCUCCAGGCUAAUAUUUCUUCCUUGAAAAGGAAAAACAAAAGGCAGAGGAAAAUAACGAACAAACACGCAAUUGCACACAAUCGGAAAACCUUAACACGCUAGGCAAAAGAUGAGGAUUCCUUUUUGGCAGAGAGUCCUGCAAUUGUAACAUCUACAUUUGAAUCUGCAAUAAUCAGGUGCUCCUGUAGAAAUAUAUAUUUCGUUGACGAAAUAAACACUUAAAUUGUUCAGUAUGAAAUCUGAUUGAACAACUAUGAAUAAGAUGAAUAAAUCAGACUUCUAAAUUUUACGGUUCAAGGUUCAGAAAAAGCUGAAAAAUUGGAGAGUGAAAUUAAUAGUUGUUUAAUUAGUGAAUGAAGUACUUACAGUUUGAUCAUGAUCAUUCUCCUCUGAAUCACUUAGCAUCGGUACAUCAUCAAUUUCCUCUGCCAUUUGUAAUCUUUCUGGUCUUGGAUCACUUUGGAGUAACCCAUCAGAAGAAAUCUUUAAGUCGAUCAGCUGGCAGUCCUCGACAAUCAAAGUUUUUAAGGAUGGGACUUUGAAAAUGCAAUUUCCCCUGCAAAAGCCUUGCAAACUUGGUAGACCAGAAAGCUUCAAAUGUUGCAAGCAACUGAAAGUAAUCUCAUUUUCUGGAUCAUCUUCGUUGGUCGCUACUAUUUCUACCAUUCUUUGACAGGACACAACUUCCAACCCCAUGAGUUGCUGCAAAUUCUUAGCCACAGAAUAAGGUUUUAAGUAUUGCAGUCCGUGACAACUCCGUAUGGUCAAAAAGGUUAGAUUCCGAAAGGAUAUCAAAGUUGAAGCUAGAUUCUCUAAUCUACCACAUUUGAUCAGCCUUAGAACUUCCAAGUUUGGAAGAACAGGGCCCCCUGGUUGGGAGUUUUCCAUUCCUAGAUGAAUCAGCUCCGGCAUUUUGGUGAGCUGCAAAACCUUUACACGUGGGAGGAUCUCAACUUCAUGUGUUUCCCCUCUACUACUUCCUUGGUGGUCGUGGACAAAUAAUUCUUUCCAAGGAGCAGAGAGCACAACAAGCAUUUCAGUAUUCUGUAAAUUCUCAAAGAAAACAUCUGACUUGGGAUGUGAAGUAGCAAAAAGAAUUGUCUUUACUUUACUCAACAACUCUGUCGGGAGUGGACCAUACCGUUCAUACCAAAUCUCCGUGUUCCGGUCCAACAUCAACACUUCCAAGUUGAGGAAUGACUUACCCUGAAAUAUAAUCAACAAUAAGAGCAUACUUUAAAAUAUUUUGAAAAACUGGACAAAACAUAAUAACUUUAAUAUUAAAAAGGUAAUAAAUGUAUUUACUUGAUGGUGUAUGUUAAACUAGUAUGUAAAAAUCACAUAAAAUUUCGAAUAUCAAAAGAGUUGUGUACAAGUAUGGUUACCUUCUCAAUUAAAAAGAAAGGUUGUUCCUUUGGUAUUGGGUGGCCCAACUUAAACUUGUCUUGAUAUGUUGAAAAUUCAACAGCAAAAAUUUUCACACCACCACAUUUCUUGAACUUUAAUAUGUUGAGUGAUGGCCAAUUAGAAACAUGCAGUCCUGGAUAGAAACUCCGAAGUUGGGGUAGAUUAUCAAAUUCCAUAUUUGUUACUUUAGGGAACUCGAACUCCUCGUAUGUCGUUUGUGGUCCUUCUUCCUUCACAACAAUUUCCUCCAUUAAACCACAAUUCUUGACACUGAAAUUGUUUAGCUGCUUAAGAUCUUUGGUCACUGAGGUGGGAAAUACAUUUUUCAAACUCUCACAUGAGUCUAUCCAAACUGAGUAUAGAUUUGGGCACUCAAAACGGUUCAAACUGAAUAUAGAUGUGUCAUAUACCACCUGUAGUGACUGGCAAUGCAUUAUUCGUAAUAACUCUAGAGCAUUCAAUCUACCCAUGAUACUUGGCCCAAAUAUAUUAAUUAGACUGUGGCAUCUACGAACAUCCAUAAUUCUGAGCUUGCCAAAAGAAUCUGAAUGAAGUUGGUUGUGGAAUAUUGUCUUCAAUUUAGGUAAGUCCUGUAUCCACAAUACCACCAAGCUAGGAAAUCCUACCUGUCAAAUAUUCAUUUUAGACCUUGUGAACAAACCUUUCUUCACAAGAGUGGGACGCAUGCAUAAGUUAGAAAUAAAAGCAUAAAGAAAAGAAGUGAACUUAUAAUUCACCUUUUCAUCAAAGAGCUCAAUAUCUCUUUCUUCUUUGUUGGUUGUAAUAUUUUCACUCUUAGCAUCAAAGAUGAAAGUCUGCAGUUUAGUACAAUUGUCUAGAUUCAGAUACGCCAAAGACGGAAAUUUAAUGUAACUUCCUGAGCUGAAUCUAGCAAGGUUUGGAAGAUGUUGUAACUCUAGAUGGCUUAGCUUAUCAAACAUGUCAUCUGUUUUCUCCUCAUUUCCCACUAUCUCUUCCAUGAUUUGACAAUUAGAUAUUUUGAGAUUUUUGAGUUGUCCAAGACAUUUAGCCAUGGAACUCGAAAACAAAAAUCUUAAACUAUCACAUUGAUGCACAAUCAAGGUUGUUAAGUUGGGCAUCUUAACCUGCAUAGCACAUAACAAAAUUCAUGUUUAUUUAAGAAAAUUACAAUUUACAUCGUUGUUAGCCGUAUAUAUUCUAAAUGGUUAGAUAUAAAGUAAAUGUCAUAUACUUAAAAAGAAAGCUACUAGGCUACUAGACAGAUGCAUGUCCUUGUACUUUCAUUAAUUAGCAAAGAACAAACUGAAGUAAAAAACCAUCUGAAAAAAAAUAUAUAUAGGGCCAAAAUUAUGUUAAUUUAAUUUUAAAUUUAAACAUUUUUGUUUUCGACAAAACAAAAACCUAUUUUAUUUUUAAAUUGAUACCAAAAACACAUUAUUGUGAAAGAUCAUUAUGGUAAGUGGUGAAUCAAUCAUCCUAUUACUUAAAGCCGGGUUCAAAUUUUCUAUACCUAAAAUAAGUGUGGCUUUUUGACAAAAAAAAAAGAAAAAAUAAAUAAAGUAUGAUCUCUUUAUGACACGUGUCAAUACUUGACACUUGUACACAAACGUAACCUUAACAUAACUCUAGCAAAAGUUAAGAAAAAGAAGCCGCCCAACCUCCUCUCUCUUCCCCAAACACAACAGCAGCAAUGGCAAUUGCAUCUCCUUCACACAUUAAAUCCUUAAAUCAAACCCAAAAGCCUCGCCCUUCAAUUUAAUUGCUCCUUCAAACUAUAGGGGACGACCAAAUUUGGGAAGAUUGAAGAAUAAAUCCUUUUUGGUGCAAAAUUUGUUGAAUUUACACCCUUGUCGAUCGAGAGUGAUCUCGACGUCACCAUCGACGAUCUCCUAUUGCAAAUCCUUGGGGUCCUUGCCGUUGACCGUGCAGCCCACCGAGAUGUAGGUUCCAAGAAUCUCCUUCACCGUUCCCGCGAGCUCCUUCGGCCAUGGAUCUGUUCCUCAUAACCGUGGUGAUCUCGAUGACGUCAUCAAGGGAGAUGCUGCCGCUGUACUUGAAGAGGUGGCGUUGAUUGGUGGCGGUGAUUGGUGGCGUUGGGAGGGAAGGAAGGAAGGGGAUGGGAGAGAUACCCAGUACGCUGGGCUGCGCUCUGAUUUUUUAUUUUAUUGGGAGUUAACGCCGUUAGGUUUAGUUGAGUAAAUGGACAGAUGUCAAAAUUGCAUGAAAGUCAGAGGUGUCACAUGCAUAAAUGGGUGCACAAGAUUUGACUUGUUAGUUGAAUUUCAAUAGUUGAAUACCGUGGGUUAUCAAAACCUGAUAACUUAAAUAUAUCAUUUAAAUGGUUUUGGCUCAUUGAAAAAAUAAAUCUUAAAUCUUAAAAAGGAAUCUUAAAAAAAAAACCAUGGGUUAUCAAAAUAAAUCUUAAAAAGAAAUUAAAAAUUCGAAGAAGAAAACUACUUGGAGAAAGAAUCAUGCAACCAUUUUGCUAGAAAAAUAACAGAGAAAGUACCUCUCCAUUACUGAAAAGUCUCGGUGGUCCACCAACUUCUCCCUCCAAAACGAUUUCGUCGGCAUCUGUACCAAUCGUUCGCUUGUCUUUGGAAAAGAAACCAAUAAGCUUCGGUAGAUUCCGAAGUGUCAAAGAUUUUAACUUUUGAAAGGGCUCGCCUACAAGUUGGCCAUAACAUACACUUUCCAAAGUCACAAGGUCUUCAAGAGUUAGAGAUUCCAGGUUGGGGAAGGUAUUAUGAGAAUAACUCCAACUGACGAAGUUAAUGACAUAUGUAACUUCGUCGUUGUUUUGGACAUGGAGACACUUCAGUUGUUCCACAGCAUCACUGUCAAAUAGAAAAGGAAAUAAUAUUCCCACUCUCCUUCCCAUCCAAGUACAAUUGCUCACAUCUCUUUACCAGCACUUUAAUACCUCGGUCGAAUUGAUUUCUCCUGGUGAGACUUCAGUUUUAGCAUGUUAGAGGAGGUUCCGUACGUGUCAGGAUACUCCCAACAAUCACCGAUAAGUAUGUUGUAUCUUUCCAACUUAUCGGAGAACAAGUCGGUGGAAGAAGGUCAGCAUCUGGAACAUGUAUGUCUAAUGCAGUUAGUUCAGCCAAGUGCUUCAGCUCUGAACAGUAGCAUUACUUCCUCCGCUAGUGGGACCUUCACCCUCCCAUUGCUUAAAGCUUUUUAUUCCAUCCUCAAGUCUAGUUCUUGUCAAGCUUGAUAUAACACCAGUGUAAGAUCAGAACAAGUUCAGACAACCGGUCAAAUCCAAUAAUUGUAGCCUUGUCAAUUGCCCUAUUUCUUUGGCAACUUUUUAAUCUUGGACUUUAGAGGCUAAGAAUUUUCAAGUUUUGUUAGCUUCCAAACAAGAGUUAUGUUACCAACUCGCAUUGAUCUAAGCACAAUGUGUGGAGAUGCUUUAGGAUUGAAGAGAUGGAGGUAGUGACUGAAUACUGAAUCUGGUUACAUCCAGCAUUUGAUUCUUCAUCCCUUCAAAAAUUUCUUGGGAUUUCGUGAGUGCCAAUAUACCAAUAUCCAGGAUCACAAUUUUAAAUUCUGGGCAUUCCCAAGACAAGGAAGCCCUGGGGAUACAACGUUUUAAGGAAUCCUUGUGCAUUUCAAGGAAAUCUCAGUUGGCCAUUCUUUCACCCAUCUCCAUAUGCUCAUGAAAAGGCGUUUUUAGUUCAAUCCGGACGAACACUCGUACAAGUAAUGCAUUCUAACAGUGUCAUCGUCAUAGCUGUCCUGCAAUAGCAAGAAAUUUUUAAUUUUUUUAACCAUUACAUCAAGAAGUCCGUGCCUCUUCCACUGUCUCAACAUUUUUUAUCAAANAGCAUCACUGUCAAAUAGAAAGGAAAUAAUAUUCCCACUCUCCUUCCCAUCCAAGUACAAUUGCUCACAUCUCUUUACCAGCAACUUUAUACCUCGGUCGAAUUGAUUUCUCCUGGUGAGCUUCAGUUUUAGCAUGUUAGAGGAGGUUCCGUACGUGUCAGGAUACUCCCAACAAUCACCGAUAAGUAUGUUGUAUCUUUCCAACUUAUCGGAGAACAAGUUCGGUGGAAGAAGGUCAGCAUCUGGAACAUGUAUGUCUAAUGCAG
rnacentral:lncRNA from 1 species